rnacentral:rRNA from 1 species
AUACAGAGGGUGCGAGCGUUAAUCGGAAUUACUGGGCGUAAAGCGCGCGUAGGUGGCUGUGUAAGUCGGAUGUGAAAGCCCCGGGCUCAACCGUGGAACUGCCGUUGAAACCAUCUGGCUUGAGGACGGGAGGGGAGAGUGGAACUCUUGGUGUAGCGGUGAAAUGCGUAGAUAUCGGGAGGAACACCAGCGGCGAAAGCGGCUUACUGGGCAGUGCCUGACGCUGAGGUGCGAGAGCGUGGGGAGCAAACUGGAUUAGAAACCCGAGUAGUCC